rnacentral:rRNA from 1 species
GAUGAACGCUGGCGGCGUGCCUAAUACAUGCAAGUCGAGCGAACAGAUGAGGAGCUUGCUCCUCUGACGUUAGCGGCGGACGGGUGAGUAACACGUGGAUAACCUACCUAUCUGACUGGUAUCACUUCGGGAAACCGGCUCUAAUACCGGAUAAUAUAUUGAACCGCAUGGUUCAAUAGUGAAAGACGGUUUUGCUGUCACUUAUAGAUGGAUCCGCGCCGCAUUAGCUAGUUGGUAAGGUAACGGCUUACCAAGGCAACUAUGCGUAGCCGACCUGAGAGAGGGGUCGGCCACAUGGGAGCUGAGCCACGGUCCAGACUCCUACGGGAGGCAGCAGUAGGGAAUCUUCCGCAAUGGGCGAAAGCCUGACGGAGCAACGCCGCGUGAGUGAUGAAGGCCUUCGGAUCGUAAAGCUCUGUUAUUAGGGAUGAACAAAUGUGUAAGUAACUAUGCACGUCUUGACGGUACCUAAUAAGAAAGCCACGGCUAACUACGUG